AGAUAAUGACAAACAAACGACGGAAAUUACAUAAUAAAUUCACAGCGUGUGCAUUUGACUCUAUCUUAAUAUAUUUGUCAGUACAUAGUAAACCCGAAUAAUCCAGUCUUUAUAUUACGAUCACUUCGAUCACUCCAUGAACCAUUUCCUCGAGAAAAGUAGUGGAUAGGGGCGCUGAAUUAUUCGAGUUAGUACAUGGAGGAAAGGUCUGUUUCAAAUGUUAUUCAAAGAUUAGGAGCGACGAUUCAAUGUCCGUUUGUGUAUUGUAUUUGUCGUGGUUGAAACGGCACCAGGAACAUAUCAGGAUAGACAACAGAAGUUUGUAAGUAUUUAUUUUAUGUAUCUAUAUAUUAACAUAGAUAUUAUCAAUGAAUUGUAUAUUUAAAUAUACAAUUCCUUGAUAUUAUAAGCCUUUCAUGCCUUCUGUUGACAAAUUUUCAUAACUAUGCACUGUUUUAGUAGACCACAGAUGUCCUUUUCGAACUAAAAGAACCUCCCUGAAAAAACACACCCUCAGUCGAAUCUUUCUUCUCAAAUGAAUGCCCGAAUGGUCAUCAAAUUAAUACUUGUUAUGGGCAGGCAUUUUCGAAUAAUUUUUAAAAAAAAUGUAUUAAUUCUGACUGCAAGGAAUUUUAAAUGGUAAAUAAUAUACAUUGUAUCUCGAGGGAAAUGUACACACUUUAACAACAGUAAUUUUUCAUAAAUAUUAUAUAAAAUAGUAAAAGUAGCAUACUCAGGACAUUUGGCAUUUACAUUUGUCAGGAGUAUGAAUCCUAGUUUUCAUCUAUUUGAAGUGAUAUUAUACGAUUAACCAGUUAUAUAAAUGUUAAAAAUCUGAAGAUAUAAUAGUAACAGUAUUAAACUCACUGGAAUAUAGAUCAAUUAAAUUAAUUUGCAUAAGUCUAUAAUCUAGAGAAUCAUAUAAUCUACAAAUUAAACAUUAAUUCAAAAAAUAUCAAAAAUUAAACUCUGGAAGAAAUUAGUCCAGCAUGAAUACAAAUUAAAGGGUCCUUUCAGGAAAAAAAAUUCUCAGAAAGGUAUCUCUUUCUUCAGAGGUUUAUAUGAAACGUUGAUGUCUGUUGUGCAGUGAUUUGGGUUUUUUUUUGCCUGUAUGCGAGACAUGGCAUGGUAGGUAUUGCAACCAAGCAACGGCGGCGACGAUGGUGUACACUAUUUGUUUGAAGCAUUAUAUUUUAUAAGUUAGACAAUCUAAAUGCUUCAUACCUUAUGUUACGAAAUUUCCGUCUGUCAUAUGUCAUUGUCCCGGCAACCUCAUUUUCAUGGUUCAGUAACUGCUUGAUACAUUUUGUUUUGUUAAAUGAAAAACUCACUUAUUAUGAGUAAUAUGAUAACUUUGUUUGGUAUAUGGGUUCCUAGCAACAUUUACAUGUUCGUCAGCUAGGUACAUGUAGGGUUAACCUGACCUCGACCUUAUUCCAUGGAUCAGUUAUCAAAAUAAAGUAACUUAAGCAAGACCGUAUCUAGAUACUAUAAACUAGUAAGUCAUCUAUAUUUGGUGUAUGGAUUAUUGAAAUGAUUGUAAGGUGUACAUAUCCACCCGACAGGUUCCGUCUGACCUUGGCCUCAAUUUCAUGGUUCAUUGGCCAAUGUAUAGUGUUUGUGGUUUGGUCUAUUUCUCAGAUACUUUAAGCAGUAGGACCACUAUAUAGGGUGUAUCAUGUAUGGAAUCAUUGUCAGCUGGAAAUGUCCGUCUGACAGGGUCUCAAUUGACUUCGACUUCAUUUUUAUGGUUCAUUGGACAAUUUUUAGUUGUGUCAUACAUUGUAGUUGUGCAUUGAUAAAGUUAAGUAUACCUGAUAAUUGUACUAAAGACUUUCAAUAUGAUUUCAAUGAUAAGUAAGACAAAGGCGAGACAUUUGCACUCAUAUUUUGGUAAUAAAAUGUGUAAAGUGUUGACUAAAGUACAUGUACCUAAAUUUCAAUAUAUUUUUGUAUCAGAGUGCUGAACGCGCAUCUUUAACGUUUUGAGAGGAAAAUGAAUAUUUUGUUGAAGGGAGAAUGUGUUGGGUACAUUACUCACAUUUUUACCUGAGGAAGCUGCUGUUCCUUUUGGAACAUGUCUUACUUGUUUUCUGGUAUGUUAAAUGGGAUAGGUAAAAGUAUUGUUAACACCAGUCCUGUGUUUUGUUUAAGACUUAAUGAAACCUGAUUUUAAUUGUUAUUUGUGUAUUCAGUUCGCUGUCUCCUAGGCAUGAACCACUCAUCUGUUUUAAGACUCUAUGAUUGAUUGAUUGAUCAUGACUGGCUGAAUGUCCAAUGGCAAAUAUUACAUGCAUAUUCAGGAAGUUGGGAAUGAUACAUGCCAAUCCUGAUAAAAAUAAAGAAAUAUGCCUGAAGAAAAACAAUAACAGAGUAAGUGUUCCUGCAUUUUAAACUUCAAAUAUUUCUUGUAGAGUGAGAAAACUGUUAUGAAACACCAGCAAAAAAGACUAGAUUGUUAUUCAGUCCUGACUUAUUCAGUGUCUCUGAAGAUGAAGAUUAGGUAUGUAAUAAUGAGGUUUUAAUUUGAUAGAUUGUUGACUUUUAAAUUGUAAAAGUUUAAUGAGUUACUGUAAGUUAAUCCAUUUAUUGUAUAAAUUAAAAUUCAAUAAUUACUGUUCAAGUGCAUAGCAUAGCCAUCUUUAUCUUGCUGUAUCCAGAGGCAAUAGAUAUAAGAAGAUGUGGUAUAGGUGCCAAUGAGACAACUCUCCAUCCAAGUCACAAUUUAUAAGAGUAAAUCAUUAUAGGUCAAAGUACGGACUUCAACACAGAGGGGAAGACUAUUAUUAAUUACAAUAAAGAGAGUGAAUAAUAUUAUAUAAGCAAAAUGGACAUCAUAAGUAAGAUUAAAAGAAAGACAGACAAUUUCUUUAUCAAAGAUUAUAAAUUUUGGUAUGGUUACUAAAAAUAUUUGAAAUUGUUUUGAAUUUGUCGUUAUUUCUUUCAGAUCAGGCCUAUUAAGAAGCAAGAAAAAAGACAAUUUUUAGCACGUGCAUCUACAGAGAGAGACAUGUUUUAAAAAACAGAUAUAUUUUCAAUUUAAGAAAAACCUGUUGAACUUUUACUAUUUCUUAUCUGUUUAUUUUACAUUGCUGCACAGUAUUUCUAUUCAGUCCCACAUAACAAAAUCAGCUGAAGAAAUUGAUGUUUUCAUAUUUCAAGGGAGUGUCCUUUUGCAUUGUUGAUAGCAGAUAUAUGCAUUGUCUUAAGUUGGGUUUAUAAACAGUCACAUCGCAACUUCAAAUAAAAUACAUUUUUAUGAAUCUUACAUGUAAAUAGACAUGAAAGAUAGAAAAUUAUAUAGGAACACAUUUUUUCUGACCUAAAUGUAUUUUCAAGGUAAAAUUAUGUGAACAUAUCAAAUAUUAUCAAAAACACCGCUGGUUUAAAAUAAAAUUAUUCUAUGUAGCCUAAACAAAUCAUACAGAUCAGUGUAUUUUUUCCUAAACAAAUUUUAUAUAUUUUUAUAACCAGAAUAAAUUUAUUCUGUGUCUCAACCUUAACAUAAUUACUGUACUAUCAAAAUAAAUUUAUU
rnacentral:lncRNA from 1 species